rnacentral:rRNA from 1 species
CACGUAGGGGCCAAGCGUUAUCCGGAUUUACUGGGCGUAAAGCGCGUUCAGGCGGUUUGGCAAGUCGGGCAUGAAAUCUCUCGGCUCAACCGGGAGAGGUUGUCCGAUACUGCUGGACUUGAGGGCAGUAGAGGGUGGUGGAAUUCCGGGUGUAGUGGUGUAAUGCGUAGAUAUCCGGAGGAACACCAGUGGCGAAAGCGGCCACCUGGACUGCACCUGACGCUGACACGCGAAAGCUAGGGGAGCGAACGGG